rnacentral:rRNA from 1 species
GAUGAACGCUGGCGGCGUGCCUAAUACAUGCAAGUCGAACGAACGGACGAGAAGCUUGCUUCUCUGAUGUUAGCGGCGGACGGGUGAGUAACACGUGUAUAACCUCCCUAUAAUACUGAUAUAACUUCGAGAAACCGGAUCUAAUACCGUAUAAUAUUUUGAACCGCAUGGGUGAAAGGUAAAAUACGGUCUUUCUGUCACGUCUAGAUGCAUCCGCGCUUCAUUAGCUAGUUGUUAAGGUAACAGCUUACCAGGGCAACGAUGCAUAGCCGAGGUGCGGGGGUGGUAGGCCACACUGGAAGUGAGACACGGUCCAGACUCCUAAGGGACGGAGCAGAAGGGAACCGUACGCAAUGGGCGAAAGCAUGACGGAGCAAGGCCGAGUGAGAGAUGAAGGUCUUGGGAGCGUAAAACUCUGUUAUUAGGGAAGAACAUAUGUGUAAGUAAAUGUGCACAUAUUGACGGUACUUAAUAAGAAAGCAACGGCUAACUACGUG